AUCGCUUCUCGGCCUUUUGGCUAAGAUCAAGUGUAGUAUACAUUUCUUCUAAUUAUAAGUGUACAUUUUUUUGGUUUAUUACUCAUU
rnacentral:snRNA from 1 species